rnacentral:rRNA from 1 species
UACAGAGACUGCAAGCGUUAUUCGGAUUCACUGGGCGUAAAGGGUGCGCAGGCGGCCAAGUGUGUGAGGCGUGAAAGCCUGGAGCUUAACUCCAGAAUUGCACCUCAAACUACAUGGCUAGAGCAUUGGAGAGGGUAGCGGAAUUCACGGUGUAGCAGUGAAAUGCGUAGAUAUCGUGAGGAACACCAGAGGCGAAGGCGGCUACCUGGACAAUUGCUGACGCUCAGGCACGAAAGCAUGGGGAGCGAACAGG